AUUGAACGCUGGCGGUAUGCUUAACACAUGCAAGUCGAACGGUAACGAUCCUAGUUUACUAGGAGGCGACGAGUGGCGGACGGGUGCGUAACGCGUAGGAAUCUAUCUCAAAGUGGGGGACAACCCGGGGAAACUCGGGCUAAUACCGCAUACCCAGUUUACUGGAAAGAGGGCCUCUUCUUGAAAGCUCUCGCUUUGAGGUGAGCCUGCGUCCGAUUAGCUUGUUGGUAGGGUAAAGGCCUACCAAGGCGACGAUCGGUAGCUGUUCUGAGAGGAAGAUCAGCCACACUGGGACUGAGACACGGCCCAG
rnacentral:rRNA from 1 species